CCGCCGGCGACCGGCGCACGGGUGAGUAACACGUAUGCAACCUGGCCGUGACAGAUGGAUAACCGGGAGAAAUCCCGCCUAAUACAACAUAAUGCCGGGAGGGGACAUCCCCUGCCGGUCAAAGGGGGCGACCCCGGUCACGGAUGGGCAUGCGGCGCAUUAGGUAGUUGGUAGGGUAACGGCCUACCAAGCCGACGAUGCGUAGGGGUUCUGAGAGGAAGGUCCCCCACAUUGGAACUGAGACACGGUCCAAACUCCUACGGAAGGCAGCAG
rnacentral:rRNA from 1 species